rnacentral:lncRNA from 1 species
UUUUCAGGUAGUAUAAGUUCUGAAUUUCUGUAAGCUCCUGUACGUCUUUUGAUUGGACUCAUGACCACAGCUUUAUGGCAAGGAAUUCCCCUGCCAGGCACUGGUCACGAAUGGACGCUGAUGAAUGCCACAGGCCACAUCCCGUGCCAGCAGGAGCAUGCUGAGAUUUGUGCUCUGUACUUCUGGCAACUGCUCUUAAUGGGAGAGAAGUGUCCUGAUCUCUCGGAUGUCACCACGUCACAACAGGCAACAAAGUCUUCCUUAGAUGGACUUCUGUAUAAGACAUACUUGCUUCUUUUAAUAUCCCAAAUGUAA